rnacentral:lncRNA from 1 species
GAGUUAAGCCUUUUUAUUAUUUAAAUCUGAGUCAUGUAAAAUUAGUUUACUAGCAAGUAACCCACAAAGAUCUAGUAUGGAAAGAAACUCCCACAUAUUGUUUUCCAACACAAUAAGAGAAUGAUCAGAUACAAAGAUUUGCAAGCAGCUCGUAAUACAAGAUGUAAUUGAAAGACCAACAUUUAAUUCAGCCAAAAAGACAUGAGAAUGUUUCUGUGAGCCUAAGAGUUGCUCUCAGACCUUGGCUGUUUGGUGUUCUUUAGCUUCAAAUUAAACCUGGCGGUAUGAAAAACUCUCUUUUUUCCUCUAGCUUAUCCAUAACCCAAAAUACCUAUGAAAGAGGAAAGGCAGCUGUAGAUAACAAAUGCCAGAUGAGCAAGAGCUUGCUAUUCUCAGUCUAGCACAACAGCCAGAGGAUUCGAUCAGCAUUUUACUAAAACAUCAUCAAGAAUAUACUAAGACUGGGUGGUUGCACGUCCAUCAAGCUUGAGAAGACCCUGCAGCAAGAGACAAAUGGACAAUACAGAGUGACAAUGAACAAAUCCUCUUUUUCUCACCAGGACCAUAUUCAGCCAUCCUCAAUAGCAGGAGAAGACAUCCGGACACUGCAUACACAGGCAUUUUCUCCCUUUGUGUUCCUUUUUUAAAUCUCUGUUUUAAAGUGCUUGUUUUUCUGUUGUAAAAUAUGUCUUCUGAUGAUAGUGCACACUCCACAGACAUUACAGUAGAAAGCCUUACUGAUAAUUUUUUGAGACUCUAAUUCCUUAAGACAACACUUGGUUUUGGUGCUGUGUGCCCAAAUCCACAGUCCUAAUUAAGCACAAAUGAAGCUGGAAGAGACCUCCACAAUUUCUCAAAACAGUUAGUGUCCUUUAAUUAGAAAAGGUCAGACAUGAUAGCAGAGACCUGACACAGUCCUUGUGGUGGUGUUGGCAGCACAUCUGCACCCUGGGACACUCGUGGGUGAGGACAGCACAUGUCCAUGUCCCGGCAAGGCGAUACAAACAGCUCUUCAUACGUCUCCUUUUGUCAGCACAGAGCACAUGCAUCAAUAGGCAGAUGGACCCAUAUGCAGUAACUGCAAGGAGACUGUUAACCACACACCAUAUCCUCACUGAGCUGAGACUACUCCUGUUGCUGGGGUUUCUCAUUCCUCAUUUGGAUUUGUCUUGAUGUCUCCCUGAGAACAUAAUGGCGGACACGUUGUGGACUGCAGGACCUUCAUCACUAAUGGUGACGCACAAGACAGGAAGGAUGCACAGGUCUGAAGUCGAUUUUGGCAGGCAGCAGUUAGAAAAGCUAGGAUGCAUUUUCAGCCUUAUUCAGAUCAAUGGGAAUUCUGCCACUGAUGUCAGUGGGAUGAAGACUUUGCUCCACAUGUCUGCCUGUAAUCUGAGAACAUGUAUUCUGCAAGUGCUGGAGACCCAGUGAAAGCGGGACCCCACAGAGUUCAUCUUAGAUUCAUUGUUUGAAAUAAAACUACGUGGAUUCUUUGUGCCCUUUUUAGUUAUCUGUAAAACAAGUAUGAUAAUGCUUUGAGUGCUAAACAAUACAAGGUGUGUAGGAAGACACAGUACCUUUUAUUAGGGUAACUGAAAUAGCUGGGGGAAACCAGACAAGCUUUCAGGCUUGCCUGAAAUGCUUU